CCUACGGGAGGCAGCAGUAGGGAAUAUUGCUCAAUGGGGGAAACCCUGAAGCAGCAACGCCGCGUGGAGGAUGAAGGUUUUCGGAUUGUAAACUCCUUUUGUUAGAGAAGAUAAUGACGGUAUCUAACGAAUAAGCACCGGCUAACUCCGUGCCAGCAGCCGCGGUAAUACGUAGGGUGCAAGCGUUACUCGGAAUCACUGGGCGUAAAGAGGGAGUAGGCGGGAUAGCAAGUCAGAUGUGAAAUCCUAUGGCUUAACCAUAGAACUGCAUUUGAAACUGUUAUUCUAGAGUAUGGGAGAGGUAGGUGGAAUGCUUGGUGUAGGGGUAAAAUCCGUAGAGAUCAAGAGGAAUACUGAUUGCGAAGGCGACCUGCUAGAACAUAACUGACGCUGAUGCGCGAAAGCGUGGGGAGCAAACAGGAUUAGAUACCCCAGUAGUC
rnacentral:rRNA from 1 species